CUGGCCCUGGGGCUCCGGCUGCUGCUGCCCCGGAACCCGUUGUUAAGAUUUUGGCAGCUCAUCACUGGAAGCAACACAAGCAUGGAAGCUAAAAAUAUGACUUCCUGUGCCAAGUCAACAGAACUGAAUUUGUCUGACAUAAAAAUACCUACAAGCUGAAAACAUCAAUUUAACAUCAACCGUGAGUUAUGAACACUUGAAAAUGUCAGUGACUGAUGAUACUGCAUUUAUUCAUGAUGCUGAUGAGCUGCAAAAAUUGAGUAUGUGGUUGGAUGCUCAAAUUUCAUUCACUCUGCAUAUUGAGGAAUGUGUUAGAAAAAAUGGGAUGGAUUCACUGAGGAUGCACCUGAAGAGAGGGUUGCAGCACUUGAAAAUGUUCACAAUUUCACUAAUACUACUGGACUUGAAACUGUCUAGCACUCCACAAGAACACGGUCAGUGUGUAUCACUGCCGCAGUCUCCACUAGCAGAACUCACAGUUGUCUUCUCCUAAGAGAUAUCCAUGAAGAGUCCUCCUGAAGUGGUGUGAAAAGGAAAAUGGCUGAACUGCUGGUGCAGAGUUGACAAACUAUUUUUAACUCUGUUUCAGGAAUGAAAAUGAGACUGAGGCUUGUGCUGAAAAUGAUUUCACACUCUUUAUACUAAUUAAACCAUUUUCAAAGCCAGUUCAAGGGAACCAGUGCUAUCAACCAGUGUCAGCAAUGGGUUAAUUUCCUGGUGUAGAUGAAGCCUUUAAUGUAAGAGAUUGCUGUGAAGAAGCAUACUCUGCUCUGGCGAGCCCUAGUUGCAGGUGAUUGUAACUCAAAGGAGUUCUGAGGUAUCCAGUGAACAAUUUCUGCUAAUGGAUACAGUAAUAAAAAAAUCAUGAAUUUGGCUGGCAGUUGGCAAAAUAAAUAAAUAAAUAAAUAAA